GUGCCAGCCACCGCCUGCGGGGCUGGGACCCAACACCUCCGGGCUCAGCGAGCAGAUCUGGACCGUGUUGAAGUAUGAACUGGGGCUCAGCACAAAAUUCCUGGGAGAAGAGGAGGUUCCAGUGAACCCAAGAAAGGGGAGUUCGGAGGAAAUGGAAAGAACGGCUCGGGUCCAGGCCACCAGGAAGAUACCCAGGAUUACUUCUGCAGGGAUGUCAGCCAGCAUGCCUAGAACCCAGGCCCCAAGGCUGUCAUACAUCCCAGAGACGCCAUCUGGAGCAAGAUCGAUCCUUUUCCUCUCUCCCACCUUCUUCGAUGAUGAUGUGUUUCAACCUCACCAGCUGGAGCCACUGAAAAGGCAAAAUUAUGUUAAACACUGUCAUGGGGACUGGAGAAAUGACUC